rnacentral:sRNA from 1 species
ACCUGCGUUUGUCUUGUAUAUUUUUGAAAAAUGGUACUACCGUGCAAUGGUGCUGUUGGUGCAAGCAUGACAUAAAAGCACAUGGCGGUGAUGAGCUCGUCUCAAGGUGCGCAAAUGCAAAUCCAUCCAACAGCCAAACCUAAAGAUCAGCGUAAGCAAAUGGCCCAAAGCCCAUGGGCUUCGUAGAGGGCGCGGCCCAAUCUUGACCCAUUCUGCUACUCUAGGCCCUCCCAGCCAGAGCACUAGAGCAGUGCAGCGCGGCGGCGACUCGGCGCCGGCGUCGCCUCCGUGGUGGAGCUCGCCGGCGGAGGAUGCCUCCACCGUCCCCCGACCCCGCUCCUCGCCGUCCUCUUCUGUCAGUUCCUAUAUCCUAUCAUCCUUGUAGGUUACGAUUUUUUUUCCUUCCACAUUUCUUCGAAUUUUCUUAUAAUCAUGGUGCUUAGUUAGGGCUCAACACAAUGCCCAUGGCCGAUAGACGUUUACGCGAGCGAGCACUGGAGCGCGAUCCUUUCUCCGUUCGUGUGAUGAAGAUUGUUCGCACACUGCACACGGCCUAAGCGAUGUCGAUAAAUUUCUCCCUUUGCACUUUUGCUUUGCCAAUCGUGAUUUGGCCAAUCGGCUCGAAUCAAUGAACUAAUGUGGAAUCUCUAAAAAAAGCUUGAUAAAUUCCUCCUUUUGCAGUUUUGCCAAUCGUGAUUCGGGGUCAAUCGGCCCGAAUCAAUGAACUAAUGUGGAAUCUCUAAAAAAGCUUGCACGCUCUGGUCCUUGUGGCACGUGAGCACUCAAGCUUCUCCUCAUUUCAGGAUGAACUCCUUGAGCCUCCCCAGGAACAUCACCAGGAUAACUAUCAGCUUACCCUCCUCGGUCCACCUGCCGACGAACCCGUAGGAAGCAUCUUUGCAAGUGGCAUCAGGCUUCAACAACUUCUGGCAACUGUAUCCUAGUGAGUAGCCUACAUUGCCGAAAGCGCUGUGGAAAUAAAAUGGCGUUAUUUCUGUUUGCUUGUAAGCAACC